rnacentral:rRNA from 1 species
AAUAGAUACCCGGGUAGUCCACGCCGUAAACGAUGAGUGCUAAGUGUUAGAGGGUUUCCGCCCUUUAGUGCUGCAGCUAACGCAUUAAGCACUCCGCCUGGGGAGUACGGUCGCAAGACUGAAACUCAAAGGAAUUGACGGGGGCCCGCACAAGCGGUGGAGCAUGUGGUUUAAUUCGAAGCAACGCGAAGAACCUUACCAGGUCUUGACAUCCUCUGACAACUCUAGAGAUAGAGCGUUCCCCCUUCGGGGGACAGAGUGACAGGUGGUGCAUGGUUGUCGUCAGCUCGUGUCGUGAGAUGUUGGGUUAAGUCCCGCAACGAGCGCAACCCUUGAUCUUAGUUGCCAGCAUUUAGUUGGGCACUCUAAGGUGACUGCCGGUGACAAACCGGAGGAAGGUGGGGAUGACGUCAAAUCAUCAUGCCCCUUAUGACCUGGGCUACACACGUGCUACAAUGGAUGGUACAAAGGGCUGCAAGCCGCGAGGUCAAGCCAAUCCCAUAAAACCAUUCUCAGUUCGGAUUGC